GCAUCAUUGAUAUGUAGGGCCAGGGCAAAAUGCUGUUUCUCCUGCACAGGGAUGAUUUCACAGAAGAAGAUUUUCCUGCCGCAAAUACCUAUAGACCCAAAUGGCCCUGGGUGGUCAUUUACACCCAAGUAAGCAACCUCUAACCUCCUUCUCAGUGUGACAGUCUUGCACAUCCAUCUCUGAAAGUUUUGCCACAAAGGGAUUCAGUUCUACGUUCAGUGAUUUCCAGAAAGCUUGGAGACAACGUGUGGUCCACUCAUUGCGCAGACCUGAGCUGCCGUGAAUGCAUUUCUGUACUAGACUCUUCUCCGAUGCUGGCUUUAUAGAAAUAGAUUUCACGCCGAGCGGAGGAGCCCGGGCAUCCCUGCUAUAACCAGUCAUUUGGCGCCAUCUGCUGGACACAAGCAGUCACAGGUUGGGGAAAAGCGACCGUGCUUCACGAGCAUCAGGUGCCCGCUGAUUCAGCUCAUCCCUGGGACUGUUCUGAAGAACUGUUUCCCGCUGGAUUGAUGCUCCAUAUGCUUUUAUGACAAAUCUCUCCACCUUUGAAUAUCUCCAAAGGUGGGCUUCGUCCAAUCAGUUGAGGGCCUGAAGAUCAAAGACUGAAGUUACCCCAAAUGGAAAGGCUUGUGGUCAAGACUGUGCAGAAAAACCCUCCUGAAUGUCUAGCCUCCUGUCCCGUGGAAUUUGGACUCAAGGCUGCAACAUCAACUCUACCUGAAUUUCCAGUCUGCUGGCCCAUCCUGUGGACCCCAGCCUUCUCCAAUCUUGCUCUUUCUCUCCAUAUAUAUAAAAACUUUUUUCCAUCUGGAGAACCCUAAUACACCCAGGACUAUACUUCAAUGUA